rnacentral:rRNA from 1 species
AGUUUGAUCAUGGCUCAGAUUGAACGCUGGCGGCAGGCCUAACACAUGCAAGUCGAACGGUAACAGGAAGCAGCUUGCUGCUUCGCUGACGAGUGGCGGACGGGUGAGUAAUGUCUGGGAAACUGCCUGAUGGAGGGGGAUAACUACUGGAAACGGUGGCUAAUACCGCAUAACGUCGCAAGACCAAAGAGGGGGACCUUCGGGCCUCUUG